GAUGAACGCUGGCGGCGUGCCUAAUACAUGCAAGUCGAGCGAACGGACGAGAAGCUUGCUUCUCUGAUGUUAGCGGCGGACGGGUGAGUAACACGUGGAUAACCUACCUAUAAGACUGGGAUAACUUCGGGAAACCGGGGCUAAUACCGGAUAAUAUUUUGAACCGCAUGGUUCAAAAGUGAAAGACGGCCUUGCUGUCACUUAUAGAUGGAUCCGCGCUGCAUUAGCUAGUUGGUAAGGUAACGGCUUACCAAGGCAACGAUGCAUAGCCGACCUGAGAGGGUGAUCGGCCACACUGGAACUGAGACACGGUCCAGACUCCUACGGGAGGCAGCAGUAGGGAAUCUUCCGCAAUGGGCGAAAGCCUGACGGAGCAACGCCGCGUGAGUGAUGAAGGUCUUCGGAUCGUAAAACUCUGUUAUUAGGGAAGAACAUAUGUGUAAGUAACUGUGCACAUCUUGACGGUACCUAAUCAGAAAGCCACGGCUAACUACGUG
rnacentral:rRNA from 1 species